CUACUUACCUGGCAGGGGAGACACCAUGAUCAACGUAGGUGGUUUUCCCAGGGUGAGGCUCCGCCAUUGCACUUUGGGCUGUGCUGACCCCUGCGAUUUCCCCAAGUGCGGGAAAACUCGACUGCAUAAUUGGUGGUAGUGGGGGACUGCGUUCGCGCCCCCCCUG